GGAUGUGAGGGCGAUCUGGCUGCGACAUCUGUCACUCCAUUGAUCACCAGGGUUGAUUGGCUGAUCUGGCUGGCUAGGUGGGUGUCCCCUUCCUCCCUCACCGCUCCAUGUGCGUCCCUCCCGAAGCUGCGUGCUCGGUCGAAGAGGAUGACCUUCCCGGAAUAGAGGAGGACUGGUCUUUGGUCAAGGGUAUACGAGUAGCUGCACUCCCCUGCUAGAACCUCCAAACAAGCUCUCAAGAAACUACAGAUGCAUGUGUCACCUUGUGUGCCUGGCUUAUGUGGGUCCUGGGAAAUUGAACCUGGGUUCUUUGCCUUCACAGGCAAGCGCCCUGACCGCUAAGCCAUCCCUCCAUCCCAGAGCUGGCCUUUUU
rnacentral:snRNA from 1 species